GGAGUUGGCUAUCGCAACUGCUUUCUACACCAUCAAUGUAACAGAUGCUGAGGAUGGUGUUGCUGAUCAGACAAUAGUUGCCAUUUCUAAUACUACUACACUUUCCGAGUUGCUUACUGUAGCAACUAAUCUUUCCUCAGACACAUUUUCUUCUGCAAGUGCCGAUAGUAUUGUUACUAAGCUAUCUAAUCUUGCUUCUGAUCAGAAUCUGACUUCUUCUGAUGUGGAUGAUAGUA